UGAAGAGUAGCCAUCCAUGUAAGUUGAAAGAGAUGGCAAAGUCCCCCCUAGCUUGUCAUGGUCUGUACAAUUGGUGCAGUUUCAGAUUAACAGAACUGAUCUGUAGAGACAACGUUAACUGGAUAUACAUACCUAGCAGCCACUGUUAUAAGAUUUCAGGUGUGAGCCAGGUUAUGUGUUCAUUGCCUCAUGAUUCCCAGAAAUGUGUGUUUUCUCCACAAAGUUCCGUAAAGCAUGUGGAAUAUGGAGACCGUAGGAUUGAGACUAGAGGACUUAAAACUUAAAUAUUCCAUCAAUAAAGCAGUUGUGUGGGAGUGUACUGUUCUUGGAAGAUGUUAGAUUGACAGUCCUGCAAGAUACUCCAACCUGCCCUGCUAUUUUCCUUAAUCCUGACCUGAUGAAAUCACCUCCUGGGGAGAGAAAGAUGGUCACUCUUCAUCCCCUGCUGGUACCUGGCUUCUUCACUGAAGACUGCUCACAAAACUAGCAAGCAAGACCACUUCUCAGGGUAUGCAGUGUGCUCUGGGCAUCUACAUGGAAGAACUGGUCGAAGAAUUUUUUGUUUGCUAAUAUGUUAAUUCUAUAGAUGCAGAAGCCUAAAGUUCAGUUUUCUUUAGCACAGUAGGAAUUAGGAUAUGUCUCAAAGAAUAAUUUUGCACAGAGUUGUAAAAAUUUCAGUAUUUUAUAUAGAUUUUUAAAGUAGAGUAGCAAUGUCCUUGUUUUACAGAAAUAUUUCCAUUUCACUAACACCUCUCCUGAAAAGAAAAAAAAUGUUGAUAGUCUACUUAUUUAUUAAACUCCAGGUCCCUUUCACAAUGAUCGCAAUCAAACAUUCAGUCAUGCUAGAUUUAAAACUAUCGGGGUCUUUUUUUUUUCUUUUUUUUUUCUUUUUUUUUUCUUUUCUUUUUUUUUUGUAGAAGGAAAACUGCCUCCCUGACAUGUGUAAAACCAAACCACAGCUUGGGGCUAGAAUUUGAUGGGGUGAGUCUUCAUAAAAUCCAACCAUAAGAAGACGCAGAAAUACCUUCUGGAAAUAAAUAGCAAUUGAGUGUUCUGUUCUUUACUAGAUUUUUAAAACUCAGUCCCUGAGACAGUGUGGCCCUUGCCUUGGCAGCAGUUCAAAUCAGCUGAAAUAAACCUGGAGGUUUCAUUUUGUCUGGCUUGCCCAAGAGACAACUCUGAUCCGUAUGGAAACUGAAUAUAAAGCAUGUAGGCAUGCAGUGACAAAAGGUGCCUACGGGCAGCAAAGGGCAAGAAACCAGGAUGGGUCAGCUGAGUAAACAUCAAAGACUCUCAAAUAACCAACAGAAAAGCAAAUAUUCUCAAGCAAAUGGGAUAUGCCCAUAACACCAUUGAGAUUUCAUAAAAAACAUUCUUUGAAAACAGUUCUGCUGGGGUGUUUCUAUUUGUCUUUCCCAUUCUAGAAUAUUGAAUUAAAAUGGUCUGUUUGCUCUUAAAGUUCAUAAGUUCUUGCUACUCGAUCCCCACUGCAGCCUCUUGACACCUCAAUUAUCUCUUCAGCAACUCCUGAUAGUGCCACAGAUGAUGGCAUUGCCCAUCUGGAUAUUUCUGAUACACCCCACCAUGAUACUUGCUUAGCAAAAUACAUGCAGAGGAUAAAAGGUAUUUAUCUAUAAAAGGACCGUGCAAGGUCUAGGAAUUAUUUGAAAUCCACUUAAACCGCACGAAGGUAAGAAGUCAUGCAUUUAGGGAUUAUUAUUUGAGAGUAUUAAAGCAACAUAUUUUAAAGACAAAAAUCCCUACGUGAUUUCUUAUUGCUUCAUCUCCUGCAGAAAUUAAGAUGAAGGAUUAACAUACCCAUUAAUUUCAAUGCUCAGGCCCCUAACUUGGGCUAACCUGAGAACUUCUGCUGUUACAUUCUCUCAUAUAGCUUCUGCUGUUCUUUGAUAAUAGCAAAACUGGUAUGAGCUGUAUAUGAUGUAAUCAUUGUUUAUUAAAACCCAACCAUUGGCUGGGGGAGUUUUGUGUGUCAGCGUCAUUCUGGCUUAGGUAGUGAUAUCUCCAGUGUGCUGCACGUGGGAGCUGAUCAUUUUGGCUGCAUGAUGAGCCACCCCAACAGCUGAUGUAGUCACUUAAUACCUGGCAUGAGUGGUGGGAUGAAUGAGUGCUGCUGGAGACUCAGUCUCCUUUCACAGCUGUAGCAGGAGGGAGCUGCCAAAACCUCAUGUGAUUUCAGGCUAAGGUAUAGCAACUUUCUGGAAGCACAGUGGGGCAAUAAAAGAUGUGCUAAAUAUACAAGUCCAUGGAAGGCAAAUAAAACAUAUGAGAUUUCUUUUGGCUGGUAGUGGUGGUUCAUUGGUUUUACUUGGGAAGCAAGAAUCUGACCCUAAGGCUGGAUUUUUGCACCUCCGUGUGCGCUUUCUGCUUGUUAUUCUCUUUUCUGGAAAAAAAAAAAAAAAAAAAAAAAAA